AAACGCUUGUGGAAGGAGCGAACAAAUGACAAGUCACUAAACCUAAAUACAGAGUCUUCAGCUUUGGAGGAGACUGAGGUGCGGACAUGGAAAAGAAGGUCAUUCUCUUGGAGCCACAGCAAUGACCAGGAGAAAUUCAUUUGGCGGUAAAACCACACGAACCCUAUUACAUCACCAAGCCCUCACCGUUUCCAGCACCCAGGGUCUCUACAAAGAGGCAAGCUGGGACUGAAAUCUCUCCCGAGUGUGGAAGACGGACGGGAGCAGCAGCCGGACAGCACAGCUCAAGGCCGAGAGGCUCACUGGGUGACUCGGGCCGCUUUGGGGUGACUGUGAGAAGCGAAGGGAGGCUGACUCGGGGUGUGGUGGGGAGUGAAGCCACCACCUUAUUGCCUAGGCCUUCCCUUGAUGCACUUGGAAAAUAAGUUGCUCUUUCUUCACCGGGUGGGGACAUUAAUUAAUGUUUGCAAAAGUCUUUAUGAUCCUUGUCAAAAGGUGUUCGGCCGGCUCUAAUUAUCCAGGUUUCAGCUGCCACCGCUUCCAUCUCAGCACAGCAUCUCUGCCCUGGAAGAUGUCAAACAAGAUUGCUGUUGUCAGGAUGUGCAUCCGGCUCGUGUGGAUUUCUAUCUGCAUCUCCAAAUACUGCCCAGAUUCCAAAGCCCUGCAAGGGGAUGGUAUCUUGUUUGGGGAGAUGAGACCUGUGCCCCGCCCAGCUCCACCCCAUGAGAUGAGAUAAUGGAUGUGAACGCCAAGUGUUUCAGCGACGUAAGCGGCAUUAUCGUUACUGAAAUGUCCCAGCCAGAUCAUCCCCAGGAGGGAUUAAUGGCCCACCAGGACAGGUGGGCACCUGGGGUGGUCGGAAGAGCCAGGAGAACCACAGCAGGGAAAAAGACUUCAGGAAAGGAAAGGAGAGAGACCCCACCGCUGGCACAACCACAGAAGUUUUGGGGAUGAGGAGGGGCUCUAGAUAUUUCCCCACUUCCCCAGACAGC
rnacentral:lncRNA from 1 species